GAGUUUGAUCGUGGCUCAGAUUGAACGCUGGCGGCAGGCCUAACACAUGCAAGUCGAGCGGUAGAGAGAAGCUUGCUUCUCUUGAGAGCGGCGGACGGGUGAGUAAUGCCUAGGAAUCUGCCUGGUAGUGGGGGAUAACGCUCGGAAACGGACGCUAAUACCGCAUACGUCCUACGGGAGAAAGCAGGGGACCUUCGGGCCUUGCGCUAUCAGAUGAGCCUAGGUCGGAUUAGCUAGUUGGUGAGGUAAUGGCUCACCAAGGCGACGAUCCGUAACUGGUCUGGGAGGAUGAUCAGUCACACUGGAACUGAGACACGGUCCAGACUCCUACGGGAGGCAGCAGUGGGAAUAUUGGACAAUGGGCGAAAGCCUGAUCCAGCCAUGCCGCGUGUGUGAAGAAGGUCUUCGGAUUGUAAAGCACUUUAAGUUGGGAGGAAGGGCAGUAAAUUAAUACUUUGCUGUUUUGACGUUACCGACAGAAUAAGCACCGGCUAACUCUGUGCC
rnacentral:rRNA from 1 species